rnacentral:tRNA from 1 species
GCCUGUGUGGCUCAGUCGGUUGAGCUUCUGACUUCGGCUCAGGUUAUGAUCUCACGGUUUGUGAGUUCAAGCCCCGCUUCGGGCU